AUUUCGGGCCCUGGUUUGGGAAACCACAGCGGACACACGCAAGGCGUGAGCAAGGUGCUAUACUAUAGGUGGACCGCAAUGUCAAAAUUGCUGUUCGGCCAUUGCUCGUGAAAAAACAAAUUUGUUUACAAAACAUAUCAUAUCUUUUGGUGACAAAUGCAUUCGUCGGCAAAAUAGCUGCUCGCGCUUUACUGUAGAUAUCUACAAUCAGCGGUCGAAUUAAAAACAGUGCAGAAGGAUGUUUUGAGUAUAUUUUAGCUUCUAGCCGCGCAAUCAAUGCUUUUCUUUCCAAGCAAGAUGUACUUCUGUUUGGCUCCUAUCGGCGGGGAAAACAGUACUUACGGCGACGGUGACAAGAAAUAACGCUGAUUGCGAGAUUACCAGAUCCAGAAGAUCCGGAAGGGCUGUUACAAGUAAUUGGUUUUGCUAGAGCAAAAGGAGGUGAAAUAAACUGUUGGAAUCACGAUUAUCGAUCACGCCAGAAGAUCCGGAAAGAGUUGUUGAAAGUAAUUGGUUUUGCUUAAAUGCUAGAGCACAAGGAGGUUGACAAUGAUUGCAACAGGAAAAUAACCAGUAGCAGCUGGUAUGGCUUCUUAAACAAUGUUGAAUAAAAUAGCAGAACUACUGAAAAGUGUAAUCAAAAGCAGUCUUCACAGUCACUGUCUUCACUUCAGAAGACAGUAAGCGGGAUAUACUGGAUUAUUUAAUUCCAUUUACCUCAACGUGUAUUAGGACAUGAUAA